GUAGAUGGUUAUUGGGCUCAAACGAGCUCAACAAGGGAUGGUGAUCUGAAAAGGCCUGUCACUGAACUGUUUAAGGAAGACCAGCAGAAGAAACACAGUAAGAUGAGAAUGGGAAGUGGAUCAGUAUUGCCUGCAGGCCUUAAUGAAGCUGAAGGCCCCAUUGUACUAAGGCACCCAACAAAUACCUUAUGAGAGGCAGUGCAUGCCUAUGGCUACAUCUACAGAGGGAUUUGUAUUGCAUUAUCUAUCUCUUACAAGCCUUGCUGUCCCAUGAAAUUCACAAUUCCAAAUUAAGGGCCAGACUCACCUUACGCUUCAAUAAGCUGACUCUAUGUAUAAAGCAUAUCAAUUUUUACAAUUAAUUAUAGCACAUACAGCAGUAGAGAAGAAGUAUGACCUGCCUGCAAUCAAAAGACAAAUGAAUGAUUGAAAAAUUCCACUGAGUGGUUUACUGGCUACCUGCCAUUCUUGAAUGACAGCAUAUUAAAAAAAAGUUCUGGGGCUAAGUAUGGUGCGUCAGACCAUAUUUAUUUGCAAUAAAAUAAAAUGCUGAUAUUUACAUGAGAUUAAACUGCUUGAUAUUCUGAAACUGCUUGACUUUACUGACAGGGGACAAAUGAAAAGCUACUUUUUAUUAGAUCUGACCUACUGGCAACCAAUAACACAUGCAAUAACAAAAUGAACAGUGUGACUGUUGAAUGAAGUGAUGUUUUCUAGAUUUUCUUUCUGAAUCAGUUAAAGCAUUUUUUUAACCUUGGAAAGAAAGUUGUGUACUCCCUCCCCCACUCUCUGUAAGAUACUUAAAAAAUACUUUAAAAAAAUCCUAAAGAAUGUACAUGGACUCAUCAGAGCAAUAACCGACAGGGGAAAUCAAUGAGAAUUUUAUACAUGCAGAGGACUUGUCUGUGCUCUCCGGGCACAGAGGGGCACUGCUGAGAAGUAUGCCCUGUAUGCUUGCUCAAUGGCUGGAGCUAGAAUUUUAAAAAAGGAGGGUGCAGAUGGUGCAUCAUUGCACAUGAAACCACAUAUUUUUCUCCAGUUAAAAAUAAACUAGAAAUGUUACUAAUAUGCUACGGGCCUAGGGCUGUGUUAUUCAGUUUAAGAUCAAAGCAAAAACAAAUAUAACUUAUUUUGAGUGAGUUAAAAACAAUCUGUGGGGCUGUGAAAUAGCAGCUUCAAUACCAGGAGCAGCUGA